rnacentral:rRNA from 1 species
GAUGAACGCUGGCGGCGUGCCUAAUACAUGCAAGUCGAGCGAACAGACGAGGAGCUUGCUCCUCUGACGUGAGCGGCGGACGGGUGAGUAACACGUGGAUAACCUACCUAUAAGACUGGGAUAACUUCGGGAAACCGGAGCUAAUACCGGAUAAGAUAUUGAACCGCAUGGUUCAAUAGUGAAAGACGGUUUUGCUGUCACUUAUAGAUGGAUCCGCGCCGCAUUAGCUAGUUGGUAAGGUAACGGCUUACCAAGGCAACGAUGCGUAGCCGACCUGAGAGGGUGAUCGGCCACACUGGAACUGAGACACGGUCCAGACUCCUACGGGAGGCAGCAGUAGGGAAUCUUCCGCAAUGGGCGAAAGCCUGACGGAGCAACGCCGCGUGAGUGAUGAAGGUCUUCGGAUCGUAAAACUCUGUUAUUAGGGAAGAACAAAUGUGUAAGUAACUAUGCACGUCUUGACGGUACCUAAUCAGAAAGCCACGGCUAACUACGUG